GACGAACGCUGGCGGCGUGCUUAACACAUGCAAGUCGAACGAUGAAGCUAGAGCUUGCUCUGGUGGAAUAGUGGCGAACGGGUGAGUAACACGUGAGUAACCUGCCCCGAACUCUGGGAUAACUGCUGGAAACGGUAGCUAAUACCGGAUAUGACCAAUGAAGGCAUCUUCUGUUGGUGGAAAGAAUUUCGGUUCGGGAUGGACUCGCGGCCUAUCAGCUUGUUGGUGAGGUAACGGCUCACCAAGGCGACGACGGGUAGCCGGCCUGAGAGGGUGAUCGGCCACACUGGGACUGAGACACGGCCCAGACUCCUACGGGAGGCAGCAGUGGGGAAUAUUGCACAAUGGGCGCAAGCCUGAUGCAGCAACGCCGCGUGAGGGACGACGGCCUUCGGGUUGUAAACCUCUUUUAGUAGGGAAGAAGCGAAAGUGACGGUACCUGCAGAAAAAGCACCGGCUAACUACGUGCCAGCCGCCGCGGUAA
rnacentral:rRNA from 1 species